AAAGUUGUUCGAGGCGGCCCCAGGCAUCGCCAGGUGGCCGCUUAGACAUCAACACCCUCUGUAUAUCUACCGCGUUGCUUUGGCGGGACGGCAGCCAGCAGCCCCGCUGGGAAGCUGUCCGUAGGGCUCUGUCCAAGGGCCCCGCGAGCGCCCGCCAGAGAACCGUCAAACUCAUGUUAAACCGUGGCGUCUGAGCUUUACAAGCAAUAAGUUA
rnacentral:misc_RNA from 1 species